UACGAAGGGGGCUAGCGUUGCUCGGAAUCACUGGGCGUAAAGCGCGCGUAGGCGGAUCGUUAAGUCGGGGGUGAAAUCCUGGAGCUCAACUCCAGAACUGCCUUUGAUACUGGCGAUCUUGAGUCCGGGAGAGGUGAGUGGAACUCCGAGUGUAGAGGUGAAAUUCGUAGAUAUUCGGAAGAACACCAGUGGCGAAGGCGGCUCACUGGCCCGGUACUGACGCUGAGGUGCGAAAGCGUGGGGAGCAA
rnacentral:rRNA from 1 species